rnacentral:rRNA from 1 species
GAUGAACGCUGGCGGCGUGCCUAAUACAUGCAAGUCGAGCGAACUGAUUAGAAGCUUGCUUCUAUGACGUUAGCGGCGGACGGGUGAGUAACACGUGGGCAACCUGCCUGUAAGACUGGGAUAACUUCGGGAAACCGAAGCUAAUACCGGAUAGGAUCUCCUCCUUCAUGGGAGAUGAUUGAAAGAUGGUUUCGGCUAUCACUUACAGAUGGGCCCGCGGUGCAUUAGCUAGUUGGUGAGGUAACGGCUCACCAAGGCAACGAUGCAUAGCCGACCUGGGAGGGUGAUGGGCCACACUGGGACUGAGACAGGGCCCAGACUCCUACGGGAGGCAGCAGUAGGGAAUCUUCCGCAAUGGACGAAAGUCUGACGGAGCGACGCCGCGUGAGUGAUGAAGGCUUUCGGGUCGUAAAACUCUGUUGUUAGCGAAGAACAAGUACGAGAGUAACUGCUCGUACCUUGACGGUACCUAACCAGAAAGCCACGGCUAACUACGUGCCAGCAGCCGCAGUAACAC